rnacentral:sRNA from 1 species
UAUCGUCACAACCAGUGGCGGCCGGCGC